UUGAACUCACGACCUUGAGGUCAAGACCUGAGCAGAGAGGGAGCUUCAACGACUGAGCCACCCAGGCGCCCCCUCUGGAUUUUCUAUAAUCAGGGGAAAAUGCUUUGUGAAAAAUAUAGAAGGUGGAUGUGAUGGCUGGAGUUCCAGCAGCUAUUUUGGACCAGGAGACAACUCUAGGGGUAGAAGCCAAUAGAGGAAAGAGAAGGGAGAAACCUGGGCUCUGACAUCACGACAUCAUACAGGUGAUUAAGCCAUGUAUCCCGGCACGGAAGAUACAAAGCCCGGGGUGAGGAGACAUUUGAACAUGGCCCUAAAGAUGAAACAAGAAAGAGCAGGGGCACCCGGGUGGCUCAGUCGGUGGAGCGUCGGACUUCAGCUCAGGUCACAUCU